AACCUGGUUGAUCCUGCCAGUAGUCAUAUGCUUGUCUCAAAGAUUAAGCCAUGCAUGCCUAAGUAUAUGCUCUCGAAAAGUGAAACCACGAAUGGCUCAUUAAAUCAGCUAUUGUUUAUUAGAUGCUAACCGUUACUUGGAUAACUGUAGUAAUUCUAGAGCUAAUACAUGCCUCGAAUCCGUGACCCGCGAGGGGAUCGGUGCACUUAUCAGUACAAGACCAACCGGGCGUCCUUCGGGAUGCCCGAUCAUGUCGUGUUGACUCUGGAUAAUUUCUACAGAUCGCAGUCGGCCUUGUGUCGGCGACAGUUCUUUCAAAUGUCUGCCCUAUCAACUUACGAUGGUAGGUAACUUGCCUACCAUGGUGAUAACGGGUAACGGGGAAUCAGGGUUCGAUUCCGGAGAGGGAGCCUGAGAAACGGCUACCACAUCCAAGGAAGGCAGCAGGCGCGCAAAUUACCCACUCCCGGCACGGGGAGGUAGUGACGAAAAAUAACGAUGCGGAACUCUAUGAGGAUCCGUAAUCGGAAUGAGUACAGUCUAAAUCCUUUAACGAGGAUCAAUUGGAGGGCAAGUCUGGUGCCAGCAGCCGCGGUAACUCCAGCUCCAAUAGCGUAUAUUAAAAUUGCUGCAGUUAAAAAGCUCGUAGUUGGAUCUUGACGGUACUGCAACGGGUCGAGUUUUGUUCGCUUCUAUAGAUAGAUUCCAUCUUUCUUUGGAGUAGCAUGCUUUGUCCCGUCUGCGGUGCAGUCUUUCAGCCGUGUCUGUUCCCCUCGGGGUUCAGGUGCUACUUAGCAGGAGGGCUUGUCUCUACUGCUGGGCGGUACGCACUACGAUCCACUUUAUUGCGUGUCGUGGUGCGGGCGGCAUGUUUACUUUGAACAAAUUUGAGUGCUCAAAGCAGGCCAAUGUGUCUGAAAAGUCUUGCAUGGAAUAAUGGAAUAGGACUUCAGUUCUAUUUUGUUGGUUUUCGGAUCUGAAGUAAUGGUUAAGAGAGACAGACGGGGGCAUUUGUAUGGCGGUGUUAGAGGUGAAAUUCUUGGAUCGCCGCCAGACAGCUGAAGCGAAAGCAUUUGCCAGGAAUGUUUUCAUUGACAAAGAGCGAAAGUCAGAGGUUCGAAGACGAUCAGAUACCGUCCUAGUUCUGACCAUAAACGAUGCCGACUGACGAUCCGUGGGGUAAAAUUCUUUUGUCCCCACGGGCAGUCUCCGGGAAACCUUUAAGUCUUUGGGUUCCGGGGGAAGUAUGGUUGCAAAGCUGAAACUUAAAGGAAUUGACGGAAGGGCACCACCAGGAGUGGAGCCUGCGGCUUAAUUUGACUCAACACGGGAAAACUCACCCGGCCCGGACACUGUGAGGAUUGACAGAUUGACAGCUCUUUCAUGAUUCAGUGGUUGGUGGUGCAUGGCCGUUCUUAGUUGGUGGAGCGAUUUGUCUGGUUAAUUCCGAUAACGAACGAGACUCUAUUCUGCUAAAUAGUACUCCCGUAAUUGGUGGGACUGCUCUGGUCGGGUUUUACUGCAUUCUUGUGGAAGAUCCCGGUUUAGGCGUUCUACUGCGCGGGUGAAACUUCUUAGAGAGACAAGUUGCGCUAGUAAUACGAAAUUGAGCAAUAACAGGUCUGUGAUGCCCUUAGAUGUCCGGGGCCGCACGCGCGCUACAAUGACGGUACCAGCGAGUAUGACCUCCUAGCCCGAGAGGGCUGGGCAAACUGGUCCAUGACCGUCGUGACAGGGAUCGGGGUUUGUAAUUAUCCCCCGUGAACGAGGAAUUCCCAGUAAGUGCAAGUCAUAAGCUUGUGCUGAUUACGUCCCUGCCCUUUGUACACACCGCCCGUCGCUACUACCGAUUGAAUGGUUUGGCAAGGCCUUCGGAUUGGCACCAUUGUAACACUUUGUGUUCCACAGGUGCUGAGAAGAGGACCAAACUUGAUCAUUUAGAGGAAGUAAAAGUCGUAACAAGGUUUCCGUAGGUGAACCUGCAGAAGGAUCA
rnacentral:rRNA from 1 species